GUACCGAACCGGAUCGGUAGUUAUACAUUUUUUUGUAAAGCUUGAAAUGUGGCGCCCAAUACUGUACGCUAGCAUGAAACUUAAAUUUUAGCUGAUGGUACCAUACGAUGGAUUAUAGGAAUUUGAAUGAUGCAGCUCACAGGAAGUCAGUGGAAAAAUGGGGACAUUGUGGGAUACCGAAUAGAUAUCAAGGAUCAUUCUAACGUUCGAUAUACUGAAACGAAUGGGUUGAACAAGUUCAACCAUGUUGGAUUCAUCUAGGAUUGACGCAGACCAAAAAAGUUUUGGCGGCAUCAACACAUGGUUUUCAAAAAAUAGCGCAGUGAAUCAGAUGAAUUGAGCAGAGAUGUCUGGACAAAAACCUCUUGUUGCACAAAAAAUGGCUUACGCUGAACGCCAACGAGGGAACAGCCGAUUAUUGCAAUAACAAUACAGUAUAAAAAUCAACAGUACCACCCCAUAAAAAGGUUCGAUACCCUAGCAUAUCGUGUUUAUCAAUUUAGGCACCUGUUUGUUUUU